rnacentral:sRNA from 1 species
UUUUAGCCCCGAUUGCAGUGGAAAUCCUUUUUAUUUUUCUUUAAAAAUAAAAAGAUUGAAACGGAAAGCGGGAUUAGCU